rnacentral:tRNA from 1 species
GAGACAAGUAGCUUAACACCCUUUAAAGCAUAACACUGAAAACGUUAAGAUGAAAAUAAUCCAGCCUCA